GGGUAAAGGAGACCAAAGCACAGAGUCACUCCCAAAUACGGAACUCAUAUGACCUUAUGACCAUAUGACCUUACCCCAAGAUUUGGCAUCUGCAUUCCAUUUGGAGCCUGAGUGUCCUCCGUGUUGGGGACAGUAGCUAUGUAUUUGUAGUGGUAAAGAGCUUCCGGCCUGGCCAGUGCUGGUGGUGUUCCCAGACAGUGAAGUCCCCUCUUGCUAGAUCAGGGCUUUUUUUUUUUUUUUUAUCCUGAGCCUCUAAUCCUCCUUCCUCUACCACUGAGAUUCUGAGAAUACAAAUGUGGGUUGCAUGCCUGGCCUGGGUGAGGCCUUCAGACCAUGAGGACUGUCUCCUUUGAGCUAGCAAUGGACAAGAAGUAAACUGGGCAGGUCAUCUGGUGACCGGCUUCUUAAAUGCUUUGUAGUGGAAAUCGGAGUGAACUGUGAAGACGGGGACUGCCCUUUCUUCAGGGGACUGUGAGGGGAAAGAGGUCCACAGGCUGCCUCGUCAGAGCCUGAACAACACGUGAUUAUAUCCACAGAAGUCAGAAUAACUGCCAGAGGGCUUUUUCUGAACUGUGAAUCAAAUGAUUGAGAAGUUGCCAGAAGAAAGGAAGAGAUGGGGGUGGAGUAGAUCCCACGGUCAAGUGCACAGUACAGAUGCUGGGCUUGGGACCCAUGGCCAUACCUGGGCUAAGGAAGCCUCUACCACGGAGCUGGAUCCCCAUUAUCCUCGUUUAGUAACAGGACCUUCCUUCAAGCUCCAUCGCAGUUAAAUGUGGCUAUAGGACUUCAUAAAUAAAAACUGUACAGAGACUCGGGGAACUGACCCUUUAAAAGGAAGGCGGCGGUGGCUUCUUCUCUGAUCUUGGAACUGUUGAGGCAGCAGUCUGCACCUCAGCAGCUACAGUGGACACUGAGCAUGGGGACUUUACACCAAAGGUAACAGAACAAAACUGGGCUAAGCUGUCUUCACAGAAACAUGGCGUCAUGGCCUGCCUCUGGAUUUCAUACAUCAGAGAAGGAGAAAAGUGUCUUAUAGUAGCCACUAUCAUUUGGGGAUUUUCUGCUGUGAAAAGAUGCUAAUCCUCUUUUGUAACCCGAGUGAGGUCCAACCUCUCCCUGGCUCUCUUCCCAGCCAGAGAUCCUGGGAGAUCAGCCAGCAGGAAUCUUG
rnacentral:lncRNA from 1 species